UACGAAGGGGGCUAGCGUUGCUCGGAAUGACUGGGCGUAAAGGGCGCGUAGGCGGUUCGUACAGUCAGGCGUGAAGUUCCCGGGCUUAACCUGGGGGCUGCGUUUGAUACGUGCGGGCUUGAGUUCGGAAGAGGGUCGUGGAAUUCCCAGUGUAGAGGUGAAAUUCGUAGAUAUUGGGAAGAACACCGGUGGCGAAGGCGGCGACCUGGUCCGAUACUGACGCUGAGGCGCGAAAGCGUGGGGAGCAAACAGG
rnacentral:rRNA from 1 species